CGUAUAUUAAAGUUGUUGCAGUUAAAAAGCUCGUAGUUGGAUUUGUGGUUGCUCGCUGGGUCCUCUUUUUGAGGCAUCCGGUUGGGUGACCAUCCUUGGGUGGAUGUUGCGUGGCAUUCGGUUGUCGCGCAGGGGAUGCCCAUCGUUUACUGUGAAAAAAUCAGCGCGUUCCAAGCAGGCUUAUGCCGUUGAAUGUAUUAGCAUGGAAUAAUGAGAUAGGACCUCGGUACUAUCUUGUUGGUUUGCGCACUGGGGUAAUGAUUAAUAGGGACAGUUGGGGG
rnacentral:rRNA from 1 species